GCCUUCGUGGUGUAGUGGUCAGCACGCUGGGCGUAUAUUCAAGAGCUCCGUGGAUCGAAUCCCGGCGAGGGCA
rnacentral:tRNA from 1 species